UCUGGUCUGAAAGACAGGGAGAGGAGAAAUGUUUUUGCUUUGUAUCCACUAACUUUCUUGGCAUGAUGAGCUCUCCAGCUAAUAAGCAAGUAAUUAUACAUAGAAAUACACAGUUCAGCAGCAAUACUGUCUGUCUGGAGCCACACUGAGGAAUGAGAGAAGAAAGUACUCCCUUCCAGCUCUGCCCAUGCCUCUGCCUUGCUCCUGGCAGGGGCAGGUAAACCCUGUGCUGGCAAACUCUGCCUCUCUGCUUCAGCACAUCCAUCCUGUGUCCCUGGUUAUUGCCAGCCCCAGCUUGGCUAAAAUGAUUAGGGGCAGCUCAGAGGAAAAAGAAGUGGUUGGUGCUUCUAUAAUUUCCUCCCACUAGGGUUUUUCUGUUAAUUUCUAGUAUGAGCUGUCUCACGUUACACGGCUGUACAGUAAUGGUGCUUCUAACUCUGGUUUGCCAGAGAAUUGUGUUAUAAAUAGUCAUGAUAAAUCGAAACAGUCUUUCACCAUGAGUUUUCUAAAAUGGCACAGUCUAUCAGGUUACAGAGGAAAGACAAGGAUGACGCUGUGCCUUAAGGAUAUAAGUGUAUUUAAGCAUUGAGUCACCAGGGAGCUGUGGUUCAGACCCACCAAAGGUGGUUUGUGAAAAUGUAGCUGUAGUGCAUCACCGGACAGGAGGGAAAGGGAUGUGUGUGUGGAGGUACAGACAGGUUCACACAAGGACAACAGUCACUGGAUCCUUCCUCAAGAGUGUUCAGCAGUGGCCAACAACAUCUGAAGAUGAAAGGACGUGAGUAACUUGAGGGGGUAACUCAUGGUCCAUGUAGAGCAUCCAGCAAGGAAAAUACCUCUGUGCAAAGUCUGACUGCCCGAGCCUUUUGGAUGGUGGCAGUGCGCAUGGGUUCCUGCCACCUUUGGGUUUCAAAUGCUUUUUGUUGUCGUGUUAGAGUGAGAGGCCAGCAGAGAGCUGCAGCACUGAUGAACAUGGCUCCUCAGAAAGCAGAAGGGAUGCUUCAGGCAUUGAAUGGCGUGCUCUUUUCUGCAGUCUGCCUGGAAAGCUGCUGAAUCUUUCUGUAACCGUCUCUACCACUUCUUUGUGGUCUGGGAUAAGUAGUGAGGGGGGAUUCUGGUGGAAAAAUACUUUUUUCCCUGCAGCUUUCUUUUUUCAUCCAAAAUGCAGAUGCUUACCUUCUUAAAGUGAAGGCAUCUCUGCCUGGGAACAAAAAUGGACUGAGGAGCUCCUUGUGUGCAAUUCUAAGGGAAUGAUAGAUCAGCUUCCCUUGCAAAGAUUCCCCAGACGAGGGUGGUCCUUGGGCAGUUGAAGUGAGCAGGUACCAGCUGGGGCAUUUUCUCACCAGUCAGUGGGCAUGUGAGACCACAGCCUAACCUGAGAGACCCCAUAAAAGAGCCUCUGCAGGAUGGCCUACUCCUCGUGUCAGGGUAUGGGAGAUGUAACGUGCUACCUGUGGCCAGGGUCUGUCUCCACCAAGGCCUUGAUGGCAAGACCCCAUCUGAGGUUGUCCUGUGCGUGUUUUACAUCAGCUCGUGACAAUCCACCCCAUGCUGCGAUUUGUGUUUGAAACAUCUCACAGGAAAAGUAGCACAGCCCUUUGGGAGAGCUGCUCGAGCAACAAGGCACUGGCUGAAGGCAUCUUCAAGAGCAGCUCCUGCACCCUUCCCAGCUCCCUGCUCUCCACCAUGGGCCAGAGAUCACACAAUUCAGAUCAUCUGCCCGACACUGAAAAGAUCAGUGAUCGAUGCACCCUUUGCUGACAGUGGCAGACAGCACCAACAGGGGAGGAUCAUACCCAGCCUUUUGUACCUGCUCUCGGUGAAAAAAACAUCCCUUUCCUCUGCACUCUGGGAGACACAUGCUAGAAGAUGGGGGCUGAGGCAAUGAAAGCAAACGAAAGAAAGGAGAACAAGUUCCUUUGACCAGCACCAGCUUGACAUUUUUCCAACUCACUUUUUACAGAUGAAAGGGAAGGUGGGAAAGAAGAAGAAAGCAUGAAUGCAGGAGGAGAAGGAGGCAGAGGAAAAAAAAGAUCAAAGAAAAGGUGAAACAGGCAAAAGAUGCUUCCAGUGGUGCCGAGACACUUGUCUGCACCCCUACACCAGCCCCUAUCUGUCCUAAAGCACAAGAGCAAAAAAAACAGCAGGAUCUCUGGCAAACUAGAUAUAUAGUCUAAAAAGCAUAAAGAUUGGUGGAAAAUGUUGAGUUAAAAGCCUGUGGUUUUAGUGCACAAGAAGCGGGAUGGUGUGCGAGUGUGUCAGCACUUGAGCUGAGGAAAGAAAAGUGGCCACACAUGGAGAUCACAGAGGAAGGGAUUGCAACGGGUUUCAGUUCUCCUAUGAAGACCAGUUAAACAUGGAGAAGACAGACAAUGGACAGAUUUCAUCCCGUCAUUGUAGCUUAGCCCGUGCUUCCCCAUCUUCCAGCAGUUCUCGCUUUGCAGGGCACUUGGUGCUGUUUCCCUGAUGUGUUUAUAGCAGCCCUACAGGGCUCCCUCUCCCCACGCAGACACCACACGCGCUGGCUCUCCCUUGCCCAUCCCAAUUCCCUCUGCUUGGCUCCUGUGUGCCUUAUCUCAUCACCUUGGAUCAGACCCUUGCUCUGGGCCUGUGCUGGGCUGUGUCAGUGUCUUCCCAGCUCAGCAGGGCACAGCAGCACCGCAGGAGCACCCCUGUGCUCCCAGCUCCUCGAUGCAGCCCUGUGCUGCAGUUAUAAUUCCCUGGGUUUCCCAUCCCUGCUGCAGUGCUACAGAGGCUUUCCCCUUCCCAACUCUCUUGCAGCACUCCAGGUCACCCAUUGUCUUUAAGGUUCCUCCUCCUUUUUUUUUUUUCCUUUUCCCUUCCUGCUUUCUAUUCCCACUCCCUUUUAGUAAGCAAUAGCAAGGGAAAUGCUGCAGCAAAGCUCCCAGCUGGGCUGCCCUCGCUUCCAUGUGUGUGCAUGGGGAGGGAGGAAGGAAGAGAUCAAACUUGGAGGCAUUCGUGGCUGUUGUGCUGCGAAGAAAAUGAGCAAGAAAGAGGUGACGGAAAUGUCAGGCCACAUGCUCAAGAGAUCACCGGGAACCACAGAUAGUUGCAUCAUCUCCGAGAAGAAAUAAAUGACAGCCUGCACCAGAUUGUAGCAUGAAAACAUUGACACAAAGAGAAUUAAUGUCCUUGUAACUGGACCUUGGCCUCACACACUUCUUCAAUCGUCUCUUGCCUGGUGACAUUGUGCCGGGUAUGAUUUGCUCUCUUUGAACACCACAUCCGUCCCGGAGACUGUCUACCUCAACGUAGCUGUGAAAUAUAGGUGAUGUAGUGCGUAUAAAUAUUGCAGGGAGACAGGGCUCAUUUGACAAGUCAGGGCUUGAGAAGGGACUGGAGACGCUGACUCCCAGCCGGAAGGAUGGGACAAAUCUGCUCUGCAGAAACGGCCUGUGGGGAAGGAAGGCAUCCCUUAGCCGUCCCUUUUGACAGGCAGAAUCACCGCAGGGCGCGGGUUCUUGAUGACAAGUGGGUUGCUUACAAGUGUGUCGGGAAGGCUGGCUCACUGUUGUGCUUGGAAACUCUAUUGUUCUGACUGUUAUGAUUCAUGAGGACUCAACAAAUAAUUAUUAAUUACCUUAUUUAGCAAAUGCAACGGUGUACCGAGGCUUUGGCACUAUCUUUUUUUUUUUUUUUUUCACUCAGAGUAUCCAUUGACAGGUGACAGCUUUUUCUAAUUAUUUAUUAUCCAGUUAUUUUCCCUUCGUUUCAAUGGACCACUCACACUCUCACUUUAUCUGCAUUUUUUUUUAUUUUUAUUUCUUCAAACUAUUCCUUAAUUGGAUGAGUUCAAAGCUACUUUUGGCACCAAUACUAUUAUUUGCUAAGAGAAAGCUGGGUUGUUUCACAUACUUUGGCAGUUUACUUUGAAAUUCAUUUUUCAUGAGCAUUUGUGCCAAGGAAACAUGAGCAUGUGCAUUGAAAGUUAGCACAAAAAAAAAGGGGUGUGAAGCAUACAUUUCUGGGAUUUUUUUUAAAGACUCGUUAUCCAGAUCUGUAAUUCAGAGUCAUUCAAACUCCGAGGCAUUAUUUCAUAAUCAAAUGAGAAUCCCCGAAAAAAAAUACUAGAAAGGCUAUGAAGCGCCCCCAAAAUAUCCUUAUCUUAAAAUGAAGAGUAGAAAAAAAUGAGACUCAUGUCUCACUGUUUUUUUUAUCACCACUCAGCUUCCUGGAUCUGCAAACAUCUCCUUGCCUUGUUUCCUUGCGCUGCUGCCAGCCUGCUUUGUGCAGAUGGGGACAGUUUUACUUUCCCUCCUCAGUGUCAGCUCCUGCUUCUCCCCAUGCCCUGGCAAAGGGGCUGCUCCUCCUGUCCGCCCAGUGCCACCCUCCUUCUGCCUACAGACCCUAUAGCCGUGUUGCCAGCACCCGCCAUGGGAAGGAUCACAUCCUUCUCAAUGAAGGGCUCAUUGAAUUAAAAAUAAAUAACAAUUAAUAUAAAAAUAAUAAUCAUAAACUUGCUCACACCAGACACCUUUGUAAGGUCUUUCCCCAUGCCAUCAUCUUUGGGAAGGACACCUCGGAGCGUGAAGCCCACGGUUUCUUGGCAAGUGUUGCCUUAGAUUGGCUGGGGAGGAGGAAUAAAAAAAAAAAAAAA